rnacentral:rRNA from 1 species
UACGUAGGGUGCAAGCGUUAUCCGGAAUUAUUGGGCGUAAAGAGCUCGUAGGCGGUUUGUCGCGUCUGCUGUGAAAGCCCGGGGCUCAACCCCGGGUCUGCAGUGGGUACGGGCAGACUAGAGUGCAGUAGGGGAGACUGGAAUUCCUGGUGUAGCGGUGAAAUGCGCAGAUAUCAGGAGGAACACCGAUGGCGAAGGCAGGUCUCUGGGCUGUAACUGACGCUGAGGAGCGAAAGCAUGGGGAGCGAACAGG